rnacentral:rRNA from 1 species
UUCCGGUUGAUCCCGCCGGACCCGACUGCUAUCAGAGUGGGACUAAGCCAUGCGAGUCAACAUAGCAAUAUGUGGCAUACGGCUCAGUAACACGUAGUCAACAUGCCCAGGGGACGUGGAUAACCUCGGGAAACUGAGGAUAAACCGCGAUAAGUCACUACUUCUGGAAUGGGUAAUGACUCAAAUCUACAUGGCCCCUGGAUUGGACUGCGGCCGAUCAGGCUGUUGGUGAGGUAAUGGCCCACCAAACCUGUAACCGGUACGGGCUCUGAGAGGAGGAGCCCGGAGAUGGGCACUGAGACAAGGGCCCAGGCCCUAUGGGGCGCAGCAGGCGCGAAACCUCUGCAAUAGGCGAAAGCCUGACAGGGUUACUCUGAGUGAUUUCCGUUAAGGAGAUCUUUUGGCACCUCUAAAAAUGGUGCAGAAUAAGGGGUGGGCAAGUCUGGUGUCAGCCGCCGCGGUAAUACCAGCACCCCGAGUGGUCGGGACGUUUAUUGGGCCUAAAGCAUCCGUAGCCGGUUCUACAAGUCUUCCGUUAAAUCCACCUGCUUAACAGAUGGGCUGCGGAAGAUACUAUAGAGCUAGGAGGCGGGAGAGGCAAGCGGUACUCGAUGGGUAGGGGUAAAAUCCGUUGAUCCAUUGAAGACCACCAGUGGCGAAGGCGGCUUGCCAGAACGCGCUCGACGGUGAGGGAUGAAAGCUGGGGGAGCAAACCGGAUUAGAUACCCGGGUAGUCCCAGCUGUAAACGAUGCAGACUCGGUGAUGAGUUGGCUUCUUGCCAACUCAGUGCCGCAGGGAAGCCGUUAAGUUUGCCGCCUGGGGAGUACGGUCGCAAGACUGAAACUUAAAGGGAAUUGGCGGGGGGAGCA